GAGUUUGAUCCUGGCUCAGAUUGAACGCUGGCGGCAGGCCUAACACAUGCAAGUCGAACGGUAACAGAAAGCAGCUUGCUGCUUUGCUGACGAGUGGCGGACGGGUGAGUAAUGUCUGGGAAACUGCCUGAUGGAGGGGGAUAACUACUGGAAACGGUAGCUAAUACCGCAUAACGUCGCAGGACCAAAGAGGGGGACCUUCGGGCCUCUUGCCAUCGGAUGUGCCCAGAUGGGAUUAGCUUGUUGGUGGGGUAACGGCUCACCAAGGCGACGAUCUCUAGCUGGUCUGAGAGGAUGACCAGCCACACUGGAACUGAGACACGGUCCAGACUCCUAUGGGAGGCAGCAGUGGGGAAUAUUGCACAAUGGGCGCAAGCCUGAUGCAGCCAUGCCGCGUGUAUGAAGAAGGCCUUCGGGUUGUAAAGUACUUUCAGCGGGGAGGAAGGGAGUAAAGUUAAUACCUUUGCUCAUUGACGUUACCCG
rnacentral:rRNA from 1 species